rnacentral:tRNA from 1 species
CUAGUAUUAGCCUAAUUUGGUAAGGCACUACAUUUGGGAUGUAGAGAGUGUAGGUUCAAAUCCUUCAUACUAGACCA